rnacentral:rRNA from 1 species
UACGUAGGGGGCAAGCGUUGUCCGGAUUUAUUGGGCGUAAAGAGCGUGUAGGCGGCCUGAAAGGUCAGCUGUGAAAACUCGAGGCUCAACCUCGAGACGUCGGUUGAAACCAUCUGGCUAGAGUCCGGAAGAGGAGAGUGGAAUUCCCGGUGUAGCGGUGAAAUGCGCAGAUAUCGGGAAGAACACCCGUGGCGAAGGCGGCUCUCUGGGUCGAUACUGACGCUGAGGUGCGAAAGCGUGGGGAGCAAACAGG